CAGAGAGACAGAGAGACCGAGAGAGAGACGGACAGGGAAGGAUAGAACUGAAGGGACUGUUUUAUCUACAGCUUUAUUUCUAUUCACCUACUUUCACGCUCAGGUCAGGGGGUCGAGGCCCAUUCCAACAGCUUCUGCUGGCAUUUCUUGAAGAAGUUCAGGGUGGAUCCGAGGUACGUUUGGAUCAUUCUCCAGUUGUAGAACGCAUCCUCUCUUCAGCUUCAGGUUUCUGAUCGAGUUUCACAUUUGCUUCCAGAAGUUGCUGAUAUUUCCUGCGACGUGCAUCAUUUCCUGCGCUACUGGCUUCCACACGAGCCCAAAACAUAAAAGCUCCACCCGCGUAACCGCGGACGAGGUGUUCUCCUCGUCGACGACGCCACGAGCCUUUUCGUUGAGUUCGAAGGUAACCGGUAUAAAGUCCGUCCAACCGGGGCAGAAAGCGCUCGUUUCCGAGACGCCUCUGGCUCGUCUACGUGUCACUGGGUCGCUGACUUUCGUGAUGAGGUCACAACUUUUGACUUUUGAGACUAGCCUUCCAGAUCUUCCCUUGAAAUCCACAGCUCCAGUUAAGUGCCAUAACGCCAUUUUGGACCGUGGAAACUACCAGAAGUACUCCGACAGUUUUUACAUGUAUGGUAUUUGGCCGACGCCCUUAUCCGGAGAGAUUUACAUUCAUCUCAUUUACACAUCUGAGCAAUUGAGGGUUACGGGCCUCGCUCAAGGGCCCGGCAGCGGCAGCUUGGCAGCGCUGGGGUUAGAGCUCACGACCUUCUGAGCAGCAGACACAGCUUUGUAGACAUCAAUUAAGGCCUAACAAGUUAGUUAGGUUCAGAUACUUUACAACUGGAAGCAUGUCCAAACUUUUGCAUCCAAUGGUAGCGCUAAUAUUUGCAACAUUAAGAAAAAUAAUAAUAAUUAAUAGUGGGAUUGUUGCAUUUAAAGCUAAUACCUUAGUCACAUGACCAAGCAAUUAAAAGGCAUAAAUGUGCCACAAAGUGUACACGUGCAGUAGAGUCAGCGCGAUUAAAAGAUUUUCUUUCCACGCGCAGGAGUAGCGACGGUCGUUCGUCGUGCCGCUCUCACCUUGGGCGAACGAGUACUCGAGCGGGACUCCCGCGAUCAGCGGAGCUCUCACCCUGAAACACAACCCGCACCAUUCCUCACCAAAUAUUUAGCGAUAAUUAAUUUGAUGAUAAUGUAAUUAUUUCG
ensembl:lncRNA